GAUGAACGCUGACAGCAUGCUUAACACAUGCAAGUCUACUUGAACUUCGGUUUGUGUGGCGGACGGGUGAGUAACGCGUAAAGAACUUACAUCACAGUUAGGGACAACAUUUGGAAACGAAUGCUAAUACCUGAUAUUAUGAUUUUAGGGCAUCCUAAGAUUAUGAAAGCUAUAUGCGCUGUGAGAGAGCUUUUCGUCCCAUUAGCUAGUUGGAGAGGUAACGGCUCACCAAGGCGAGGAUGGGUAGCGGGCCUGAGAGGGUGAACGGCCACAAGGGGACUGGGACACGGCCCUUACUCCUACGGGAGGCAGCGUUGGGGAAUAUUGGACAAUGGACCAAAAGUCUGAUCCAGCAAUUCUGUGUGCACGAUGACGUUUUUCGGAAUGUAAAGUGCUUUCAGGUGAGAAGAAAAAAAUGACGGUACCAACAGAAGAAGUGACGGCUAAAUACGUG
rnacentral:rRNA from 1 species